rnacentral:misc_RNA from 1 species
CAGAGGAUUAAGCACCAGACUUCACAAAUGUGCCAAAGUAUAACCCAAAUCUCUCAAAAUGUUCGGAUUAGUCAUUGCCUUGUACAUAUAAUUAAUAGUGCAGAUUUUCUGUUUUACAAAAAUCUAAAGGGCCUCCCCACGCAAACACGUGGGAAGUGAUUGAAGGAAGAAACAGAAGUUCAUUUGCCGAACAUACGCGUCCCAGUAAUGCAGGAGACGAUUACAGUUUCCCUACUCUGGAUUAUAUGCUUACAAAUAUGAACGUACGAUUCCUAAUCCAAUGAAAAGGUGCCACCACAAUACCCGUUGCUGAACUUCUCAACAGCAUCAGAGGCAUAAAGAAGUGUUUCAUUGGCUUUUUCUAGAACCAUAUAAAGCUCCUUGCCUCUCAUAGUGUGAGCAAUAACCCAGGCAUUGUUUUUUGCUCUAAUGCAUAUUUC